CCUACGGGAGGCAGCAGUGGGGAAUAUUGCGCAAUGGGCGAAAGCCUGACGCAGCGACGCCGCGUGAGGGAUGAAGGUCUUCGGAUCGUAAACCUCUGUCAGCAGGGAAGAACGGUCACUGUGCUAAUCAGCAGUGAAUUGACGGUACCUGCAAAGGAAGCACCGGCUAACUCCGUGCCAGCAGCCGCGGUAAGACGUAGGGGCGAAGCGUUAUCCGGAUGUACGGGGUGGAAAGGUGGCGCAGACGGCGAUGCAAGCCAGGAGUGAAAGCCCGCGGCCCAACCCCGGCACUGCUCUUGGUACUGGGUGGCUGGAGUGCAGGAGGGGCAGGCGGAAUUCCUGGUGUAGCGGUGAAAUGCGUAGAUAUCAGGAGGAACACCGGUGGCGAAGGCGGCCUGCUGGACUGCAACUGACGUUGAGACCCGAAAGCGUGGGGAGCAAACAGGAUUAGAUACCCCGGUAGUC
rnacentral:rRNA from 1 species